rnacentral:lncRNA from 1 species
AGUGCUAGUCACUCAGUUGGGUUUAAUUCUGUGACCCCAUGGACUAUACCCUGCCAGGCUCCUCUGUCCAUGGAAUUCUUCAGGCAAGAAUACUGGAAUGGGUAGCCUUUCCCUUAUCCAGGGGAUCUUCCCCACCCAGGGAUCCAACCCAGGUCUGCUGCAUUGCAGGCGAUUCUUUACCAGCUGAGCCACAGGGAAGCCCAAUUAAUAAGGGCACUUUUAAAAGAGAGACAGACAGGAAAAAAAAAAGAUUCAAAGCAAAAAAUUAAAACCCCAAACCCCUCUACUGCCUUACCAAAAUUAUCCCUGAGAAACAAUUACAUCGGCUGCUCUAUUCCUACUGUGGAGUAAGGGCCCCGAAGACAACUGUGGAGGAGGGAGCUGCCUGGAUUUUGCCCACAUUCUGAGUCUCUAGCCUCAGUUAAGAAAGAAAAAAACCUGUAGCAAUUAACCGUAGGAUACUGCAUGUGUCCUUUCGGUUUCAUUACUCAGAAACCUCACCCAUAACACAUGGCUGUAAAAACCUGCUCGCCUUUCAACUUUUAAGGAGCAGAGCAGGUUUCCGGAGGAACCAGACUCAAGGGGAGCCCCAGGGAAGAGCCAAAGCAGCUGGGAAUUUGAUACCCCGGUGCUCCAAAGCUAAAAGAAGAAUUAGAAGAAAGCUGCAUGAAUAAAGAUGGGAUCCUUCAUGAUACAGAAAAGACCUCAGCAGAGCAGUACGAAAGAGAAGCAGCUAAGAGGGAAAAGGAUUCUCUUGAGCAAAAGAUUAAAGAGCUGCUACAAAUGUUAGAGAACCAAGAAAGAGCCUUCAAGAUAUUUAGAGUCAAAAUCACCAGCAAGAUGAGAGAAAGAGACAAGCUUCUGAGAAGGAUGAACAAGAGGAUUGAGAGGCUGGAGAUCUUAAGAAAGAUAAGGGAAGAACAAGAGGAAUACUACAUGAAGAAAGAGGAGCAGAUCAAAAGAGAGGCAAGUGAGAGGGAAAAAGACCCUUCUGAGCGAAAGGUUAAAGAGCUGCAGCGACAGUUGGAGAACCAAAAGAGAGUUUUGGAGAGAUUAACAGCCAGAGUGAGAAAGGAGAUAAGAGAAAGAGAGAAGACCUCAGCAGAAGAGUGGGCCAGAGGAGAGGCAACUGAGAGGGCAAAGGAACCUCUUGAACAAAAGGCUAAAGAAUUACAGUCAAAGAUGGAGGGCGACAGAAGUGCCAUCUUGAAGGAAGUUAGACUCAAAACGACAAAGAUGAGAGAAAGAGAAAACCUUCUAAGAAGGAUGAACGAGAGGUUUGAGAUGUUGGAGAUCUUGGGGAUGAUAAAGGACGAGCUAGGGGAAUGCUGCAAGAAGACAGAUGAGCUUUGUAAUGCAGCCAAGACCUUGGCAGAAUGCACUAAAGGAGAGCCAUCUGAGAGGGAAAAGGAGCUUCUUGAGCAAAAGUAUAAGGAGAUAAGUCAAAAGGUGGAGGACCAAAAAAAAGACUUCGAAGAAUGUGUAGGCAAAAUGAUAGAGAAAACAAGAGAAAGACAAAAGAUUUCAGCAGAAGAGUAUGCCAAGAGAGUGGCAGCUGAGAGGGAAAAGGAACUUCUUGAGCAAAAGGUUAAAGAGCUGCAAGAACAGCUGGAAGACCAAGAAAGGGUCUCUGAGGAAUUAGGAGUCAAAAAGACAGAGAAGCAAAGAGAAAGAGAAAAGACAUCAGCAGAAAUGCUGGCCCAAUGGGAGGAUGCUAUGUGGGAAAAGAAGCAAAUGGUUAAAGAAUUGCAGCAAAAGUUGGAGGACCGAGAAAAAACGUUCGAGAGAUUUAGAGACAAACUCACAAAGGAAAUGAGAGAAAGAGACGACCUUCUGAGAAAGAUGAAUGAGAGGAUUCAGAUGCUGGAACGCUUACUGAGGUUACUAGAAACACUAGAGGAACAGGACAUGAAGAAAGAAGAGCAGGCCAAAAGAGAGGCAGCUGAAAGGGAAAACGAGCCUCUUGAACAAAAGGUUAAAGAACUGCAGCAAAAAUCGGAGAACCAAGAAAAAGUCUUCGAAGUAUUAAGAGACAAAAUGACAGAGGAGUUGAAUGAAAGAGAGAAAGCCUCAGCAGAAGAGCAGAUCAGAAGAGAGGCUGUUGAGAGGGAAAAUGAGUCUCUUGAAAAACAGGUUAAAGAAUUGCAGCAAAAUUUGGAGGACCAAGGAAGAGUCUUCCAGAGAUUAAGAACUGAAAUGACAGAGGAGAUGAGAGAAAGUGAAAACGUCUCAGCAGAAGAGCAGAUCAGACGAGAGGCCACUGAGAGGGAAAAGGAGUCUCUUGAAAAACAGGUUAAAGAAUUGCAGCAAAAUUUGGAGGACCAAGGAAGAGUCUUCCAGAAAUUAAGAACUGAAAUGACAGAGGAGAUGAGAGAAAAUGAAAAGGCCUCAGCAGAAGAGCAGGCCAAAAGAGAGGCUGCUGAGAGGGAAAAGCUUUUAGAGCAAAAGCUUAAAGAAUUGCAACAAAAGUUUGAGGACCAAGAAAGAGCCUUCAAGGUAUUUAGAGUCCAAAUGACAGAAAAGGUGAGAGAAAGAGACAAUUUUCUGAGAAAGAUGAAUGAGAGGAUUGAGAUGCUGGAGGCUGCAGUGAACAAUGAUAAUGACAAGGAUAAUGAGGAAAACACUGAAAAGUACUGAACUUCAUAGACACAGGAAGAUAAUGACAAAGAAAAUACUUCACAGCCUUUUGUUUUAAUCUCAGUUUGGGAGAAUAUAAAACAUGUGUGGUCACUAAUUACUCAGAUUUUUUGUUUGUUUCUUUUAAAUUCUGGUAAUAUUAAAGUUUUCACAAGUGCUUUUUUGAUCUGGAUUAUUUCUAUCUAUGUAUGUACUUUUUCUUUUAUCAUUAAAGUUUUAAUGUAAAAAAUAGAAAAAUCAUCUACUAUAGAACAUCAAUUCCUGGCCCACAAAGGAAAGAAUUAGUGUGGCUGGAUAAUUAAUUUAAGUGGAAAUGGAAGCAACUGAGUAGAAGACAAAGAGGUCAAAUUUGUAAUAUCUUGAAAAAAAGAAAAAUUUUAUUAAGUAAUGCUUCUGAAAGUCACAUAUGAAUAAUUAUACAAAUGAAUAUGUAUACUGGUUUCUUGAGAGGAAAGGACUAAUUUCUUAUACAAAACAACUGUGUUACUUCACUUGUAAAUUUUAUGUGUUUUGAGUUAAAAUUUCACAAAAGCUGAUUGUAAAUUUUAAAUUGAGCUGAUCAAACACAUUAAAAAGCCAUGAAAAUUCAGAAGGGGUACAGGGUUUGGGAAGUUUUCAGCCAUAAUUUCUUCUAUAAAUGAAGUUUAUAGAACUGCAGUCAUUAGAACAAUGUGCCAUCAAGGCAUAAAUCUGAAGACAAAGAAUAACAGCAUGCUGCAUAGUCUAAAAAUAGAACCAACAACAUACCUGAUUAAGGUUGUGUGAAUAGUGUUGUUUCAGAUCAGUGAGACAAUAUAAACAGUACAUGAAGUGCUGUCAGUCUACUGGACAGCCAUAUAGAAUGAGAGUGCCUAGAUCGCUUAUAAAUCUUGCACAAAUAAUAUUCCAGCUUGACUUUAGAUUUAAACAUUAAAAAUAAUCUUGAUAAAAACAGUAAAUGUCAGAUAAUUAUAAAAUAAAUGUGGAAACUUGAAUUUAUUUUUAAGUGAC